rnacentral:rRNA from 1 species
CCCCGGAGCCACAAGUGGGGGCCACGAUUAUUGGGUCUAAAGCGUCCGUAGCCGGCGUGAAUGGUCCCUUGUGAAAUUGCACGGCUUAACCGAGCAGCGCGCAAGGGAAACUCUCACGCUUGGGACCGGGAGGGGGCAGGAGUAUGCCCAGGGGAGCGGUAAAAUGUUAUAAUCCUGGGUAGACUACCGAUAGCGAAGGCACCUGUCCAGAACGGGUCCGACGGUCAGGGACGAAAGCUGGGGGAGCAAAAGGG